rnacentral:rRNA from 1 species
AACGUAGGUGGCGAGCGUUAUCCGGAUUUACUGGGCGUAAAGGGUGUGCAGGCGGGGGUCCAAGUGGUGUAUGAAAUAUCCCGCUUAACCGGGAAGGGUUAUGCCAGACUGGACUUCUAGAGUGCGAGAGAGGGACGUGGAAUUCCGGGUGUAGUGGUGAAAUGCGUAGAUAUCGGGAGGAACACCAGUGGCGAAGGCGACUACCUGGCCUGUUCUUGACGCUGAGGCGCGAAAGCUAGGGGAGCAAACGGG